rnacentral:lncRNA from 1 species
UUUCCCAAGUUCCUACACUUUCUAAACUUACUGCACAACUUGGUCGUUCUUUAGAGGGCUUUGUUCGUGUUAAUGCUCAUGGAGUUUUGGAUGGAUCACCACUUUGCAGGGACGCUAGAGACACUGGUAUGUUUGCUAGAUUUGUGUGUAGGCUAUUCAAUAAUUGAUUGAUGCAGACUCAUCUUUCCUCCACAGAUGCCAUUGCAAAUACAUCAUCCAUAGGAAGGAAAGGUACUGAAGCGAUAGGGUCAGGUAAGUAUGAAUUUUCAAUCACUAAG